UGAUGGUUAGAAUUUGUUAGCAUUAAAGUUUUUAGUUCAGGUAUGUACAUUGUUUGUUAGACAUAAUGCUACUGCACACUUAAUAGGUUACAGUAUAGCAUAAACAUAACUUUUAUAUGUAUACUAGAAAGCCC